GAUGAACGCUAGCGGCAGGCCUAACACAUGCAAGUCGAGGGAGAGGUUACCUUCGGGUAACCAAGACCGGCGCACGGGUGCGUAACGCGUAUACAAUCUGCCUUUCACAUAGGGAUAGCCCGAAGAAAUUUGGAUUAAUACCUAAUGGUAUAUAGGAGCGGCAUCGUUUUUAUAUUAAAGCUACGAUGGUGAAAGAUGAGUAUGCGUUCUAUUAGCUAGUUGGAGAGGUAACGGCUCCCCAAGGCGACGAUAGAUAGGGGUUCUGAGAGGGAUGUCCCCCACACUGGUACUGAGAUACGGACCAGACUCCUACGGGAGGCAGCAGUGAGGAAUAUUGGACAAUGGUCGGAAGACUGAUCCAGCCAUGCCGCGUGCAGGAUGAAGGUCCUAUGGAUUGUAAACUGCUUUUGUAAGGGAAGAAUAAGGAGUACGUGUACUUUGAUGACGGUACCUUACGAAUAAGCAUCGGCUAACUCCGUGCCAGCAGCCGCGGUAAUACGGAGGAUGCGAGCGUUAUCCGGAAUCAUUGGGUUUAAAGGGUCCGUAGGCGGGCUGAUAAGUCAGAGGUGAAAGCGCUUAGCUCAACUAAGCAACUGCCUUUGAAACUGUCAGUCUUGAAUGAUUGUGAAGUAGUUGGAAUGUGUAGUGUAGCGGUGAAAUGCUUAGAUAUUACACAGAACACCGAUAGCGAAGGCAUAUUACUAACAAUUUAUUGACGCUGAUGGACGAAAGCGUGGGGAGCGAACAGG
rnacentral:rRNA from 1 species